rnacentral:rRNA from 1 species
UACGUAGGGAGCAAGCGUUAUCCGGAAUUAUUGGGUGUAAAGGGUGCGUAGACGGGAUGUCAAGUUAGUUGUGAAAUACCUCGGCUCAACUGAGGAACUGCAACUAAAACUAACAUUCUUGAGUGCAGGAGAGGAAAGUGGAAUUCCUAGUGUAGCGGUGAAAUGCGUAGAUAUUAGGAAGAACAUCGGUGGCGAAGGCGACUUUCUGGACUGUAACUGACGUUGAGGCACGAAAGUGUGGGGAGCAAACAGG